CCUACGGGUGGCAGCAGUGGGGAAUAUUGGACAAUGGGCGAAAGCCUGAUCCAGCCAUGCCGCGUGUGUGAAGAAGGCCUUCGGGUUGUAAAGCACUUUCAGUGGGGAAGAAAGCCUUGGGGCUAAUACCCUCGAGGAAGGACAUCACCCACAGAAGAAGCACCGGCUAACUCCGUGCCAGCAGCCGCGGUAAUACGGAGGGUGCGAGCGUUAAUCGGAAUUACUGGGCGUAAAGCGCGCGUAGGCGGUCUGAUAAGCCGGUUGUGAAAGCCCCGGGCUCAACCUGGGAACGGCAUCCGGAACUGUUAGGCUAGAGUGCAGGAGAGGAAGGUAGAAUUCCCGGUGUAGCGGUGAAAUGCGUAGAGAUCGGGAGGAAUACCAGUGGCGAAGGCGGCCUUCUGGACUGACACUGACGCUGAGGUGCGAAAGCGUGGGUAGCAAACAGGAUUAGAUACCCUGGUAGUC
rnacentral:rRNA from 1 species